rnacentral:rRNA from 1 species
UACGUAGGGCGCAAGCGUUGUCCGGAAUUAUUGGGCGUAAAGAGCUCGUAGGCGGUCUGUUACGUCGGAAGUGAAAACCCGGGGCUUAACCCCGGGCUUGCUUUCGAUACGGGCAGACUAGAGUGUGGUAGGGGAGACUGGAAUUCCUGGUGUAGCGGUGAAAUGCGCAGAUAUCUGGAGGAACACCGGUGGCGAAGGCGGCAUCCUGGACCGGUAUUGACGCUGAGGCGCGAAAGCUAGGGGAGCAAACGGG